UACGAAGGGGGCUAGCGUUGCUCGGAAUCACUGGGCGUAAAGCGCACGUAGGCGGCUUGUUAAGUCAGGGGUGAAAUCCUGGAGCUCAACUCCAGAACUGCCUUUGAUACUGGCAAGCUUGGAGUCCGGGAGAGGUGAGUGGAACUGCGAGUGUAGAGGUGAAAUUCGAAGAUAUUCGCAAGAACACCAGUGGCGAAGGCGGCUCACUGGUCCGGUACUGACGCUGAGGUGCGAAAGCGUGGGGAGCAAACAGG
rnacentral:rRNA from 1 species